CAUGCAAGUCGAGCGGAGAUGACGUGCUUGCACCUUAUCUUAGCGGCGGACGGGUGAGUAAUGCUUAGGAAUCUGCCUAUUAGUGGGGGACAACAUUCCGAAAGGAAUGCUAAUACCGCAUACGUCCUACGGGAGAAAGCAGGGGAUCUUCGGACCUUGCGCUAAUAGAUGAGCCUAAGUCGGAUUAGCUAGUUGGUGGGGUAAAGGCCUACCAAGGCGACGAUCUGUAGCGGGUCUGAGAGGAUGAUCCGCCACACUGGGACUGAGACACGGCCCAGACUCCUACGGGAGGCAGCAGUGGGGAAUAUUGGACAAUGGGGGGAACCCUGAUCCAGCCAUGCCGCGUGUGUGAAGAAGGCCUUAUGGUUGUAAAGCACUUUAAGCGAGGAGGAGGCUACUGAGACUAAUACUCUUGGAUAGUGGACGUUACUCGCAGAAUAAGCACCGGCUAACUCUGUGCCAGCAGCCGCGGUAAUACAGAGGGUGCGAGCGUUAAUCGGAUUUACUGGGCGUAAAGCGUGCGUAGGCGGCUUUUUAAGUCGGAUGUGAAAUCCCCGAGCUUAACUUGGGAAUUGCAUUCGAUACUGGGAAGCUAGAGUAUGGGAGAGGAUGGUAGAAUUCCAGGUGUAGCGGUGAAAUGCGUAGAGAUCUGGAGGAAUACCGAUGGCGAAGGCAGCUAUCUGGCCUAAUACUGACGCUGAGGUACGAAAAGCAUGGGGAGCAAACAGGAUUAGAUACCCUGGUAGUCCAUGCCGUAAACGAUGUCUACUAGCCGUUGGGGCCUUUGAGGCUUUAGUGGCGCAGCUAACGCGAUAAGUAGACCGCCUGGGGAGUACGGUCGCAAGACUAAAACUCAAUUGAAUUGACGGGGGCCCGCACAAGC
rnacentral:rRNA from 1 species